UAUAUUUCAUAGGCAAAAAAACACAGCAAAGAGAAAAAUGUGGAUAUUUUUCUGUAGAGCUGAAGACAGACGCGUUCAUUGAUAAGCGGAAAGUGUGAGAUUUGUUCAGCAAAUGUUACAGUUUCAUCUUAAAAUUGUCAGAAAAUGCGAAGAGGGAGGAAGCUGAGAAUGGAUUUGCUUUGGAAAGUUGAUUCUGACUUUUGCUGUUUUUUAAAAAUAAUUAUUUUUAGGACUGCAGUGCAUGAUGGGUUAUUGUUUGAGCUGUUAAAGACCACGUUCGUGUUAUUUUAUGGUUUUAGGGUACUCCUUUUCAACCUCUACUACAGAUAUUUCCGCUUUCUCCUUCCCCUUCUCUUUCACUGACAUUCUUUACAUGCACCUCGAGGUGUUGCCACCGGCGGACUGGUGCGUCACUAUUCAGCUAUUAGUCUCCGCGGUCGCGUUACUGCGCACAGGGGACGGUCCCCGGAGUCGGGGGGGGGGAGAGGGAGAGAGGCCGACUCUCGGGCCGGCGCAGGGUACGAAGAAGCUGCGGCCGGCUGGUGUGAGUUUAUCGCCAGCCUCCACUCCAAGGAAGCAGAGCCAGUCAGUGGCAUUUCCGAGCGAUCCGGUGAAAAAGCCCCGCGGGCAGAUAGAUCAAAUAAAGAGAGAGAGAGAGAGGGAGGGAGAGAGAGAGAGAGAGAGGGAGGGAGGGAGAGAUAGAGGGAGGGAGAGACAGAGAGACUCAUAUCAGAUGAGUAAUAGAGCAGAAUAUUACGUGAUGCAUCGAUCCUCCUCCUUCCUCCCGCAUAUAUCCGCGGCUGUCUCAGCUUGAUUUACGGAAACUUUUAUUUCAGCCGUCGGUGAUGUUUUGUUUCAGCCUCUCCUGUGUGUGUGUGUGUGUGUGUGUGUGUGUGUGUGUGUAGUCUACCGGAUAGAUCCAGGAGCUCUGCAGUUGAUGAAGCUGACUGCAAGUCGGGUUGUUUUUUCUUCACAACUCCAGCCGCCGUGCAAGGCUCGAAAGAAUACAGGUAGGCCUACAACAAUUUCACAUUGUUGAUAAUGAUUUGCAUUCGGCAUUUAAAUGUUUAGCUGUUGAUACUAUUAUUAUUCAACGAAACCAUCUACAAAUGUGGAUGAGAGAGCAGCCAUCCGUGCACAAGAUUAUUUAUUGUUGUGGUUAUCUGUUGUAGAAUACAUGCCAGUUAGUUUCUUGUUUCUGUUUGAUUUAAUUAGAUUUGUAUUAUAAUUGUGUAUAAGUUUGGUGGGCGUUGGCAUCGUGUGAUAGUUUAGCAAUGUGGUGAGACUGUUGAACAUGGCAUUGCAACAGUGUGUGGUCUUCUCUGGCUCUGGCAAGACCAUUGUGCACGCCGCACGUGCGUGAGUGUGCGCGAUGCGAGCCCCCGCGCGCGCGUGUGUGUGCGUGUAUGUGUGUGUGUGUGAGAGAUAGAGGGGGGAGAGAGGUGGUAGGCUAUGUGAGUUGGGCUGGAGGAAAUUCUUGUGUCUUGGAAUGCGUUUACCCCGGGGGAGACCCCGUGACUUCGGCAUAGACAAGGGGAGCAGAGAGAGGAAGAGAGACGCAGAGAGAGGAAGAGAGAGAGAGAGAGAGAGAGAGAGAGAGAGAGAGAGUGUGCUGGCCUAUUGUGAUUGCUUCCCUAAAAAGUAACUGAAUCAAAGAAGUGGUGCUGUUUAUUGCGAGUGUCAUGCCUCUUGCAAAUUUAAUGACACUGACGAUAUCAUAAACUAUUAACAUUUUUGCUGUUUUUUUUAGUUUUAAAAUCAUUUUCUGUCAUAAUUAAAACCAUGCGCCUUCGCUUUCAGAUACAGUGAUGCUGUAUCCAACAGGGGGCACUUGUUGCACAUGUAGCUGGAACUCAUUGGUUAUUAAUGUGCCACUAAUGUCUACAGUCCCAUUUCUUUUUAAAAUACAAAUGAACAUUCUUUUAUGUAUUUGAUUUCUGCAAAGCUCAGUAUAAAUUGUGUCUAACAGCACACAAUAAUAUAAUUUGGAUUGAUUUUCCUGCGCAGUACAGAAUUGUUGAUCUGUUUCGUGUUUUGUGCUUUUUUUUACAGUCACAAAGCAAUAUACUUGUCAUCGCUGUCCUGUUAAAAACACGCGUCUCUUUUCAUGAGCUCUGUGACGAUUGCGUUCGUCAGAUCAUCCAAUCGGAUUUGAUAUAAUGUCAACUUCCAACACGGCAUGGCGGUAAAUAUAGAAACCGACCAAGAUUUUUUAGGGGUUUUGGGUGCAGUGGAUGUGUGUAUUACGAAAGUUGACAGCGAAUGUGAUACGCUGAACUUGAAAACUUGGACAGAAGUUAGUGGUUGGGCUCACUUUUUGUUUUAGCAGACAGACUGGGGUUAGCAUCCCGGUUGGUAUUGGACAGAGAACAAUGUUUCUGGAACGAGAGGACGAGAGGGAGAGGGACUGCUAAAAGCUCGCCCACACACAAAUGUGAGAUAUUCUAAUGAGCAAUCUGGCCCUUCUGAAUAUUAUUCCUCUUCGCAGCACAGGCAGCCUACAAACGUGUGACAUUGUGCAAAUCGACAAAUUUUUCCUGUAAGGAAUGUUUUUCUAGAUUUCAGUGGAAUAAAUGUGUCAGGGAUGAGAAUAUUUGAAAAGGACGAUGUGAGUGACGUGCUCUUCUGAAACCUGUCUUUCACAGCCUGAACGGUGAUCGGUGAAAAGGCGGCAAAAGACUGACCGGAUCGAGGGCUCCUGUUCCGUCCAUGCUGGUUGGCCCAAUUCUGCACAGAGUAUUCCAGGAACACCGCUGAACAACCACGUGUUCCCAAAGCCAUUCCCAGGAGAGACGGACUCAGCCGUCUCUACGGAAGUGCGAGGCUUCCCGCCGAGGCAAGAGCGAAACCGGCCGGCCUUCACGGUUCGCGGCUCUGUGGCCGCUGUCAGUUGCUCAGUAGGCAGUGUAGAUCCUGUGUAGCAAUCAGCAGCUACAUCUGGCUACUGGGUCUCCGACGGCUUUGCCUACUUCCUGGAUCGAGCAUGCCUGGUCCACUCCCAUUGGCUGGUGGCACAUUCCAAUCCUCUGAUUGGCUGCGAAGUCGGGGGGGGGGCUCCAUCCUGUGACCCCACAGACAGGAUGUUCUCUGUGUCACAACUCCACAAGGGGCCCUUGUCAAGGCUUUUUGUGUUGUUUUUUUUUUUUUUUCACUCCUUCCUCUUCCGCCAUUCUUUUAAUUCUCCCCGUUUCUGCUUCUCUCUCUCUCUCUCUCUCUCUCUCUCUCUCUCUCUCUCU